CCAUUGCUCUUACAUUUUACUCUUAUAUUAAACAGAAAUAUUGUGACCUUCAGAUGGAGAAUUGUGUCAGAGCCAGGGGAGAAGGAGGAGGACAAAGAUGAAGAUGAGAAGCAGACGGAGCUGCGCAGGAGGAAGAGAGAAGCUCACCAGUGUGGGACACCAUGCUCUGAAACGGGGACAAACUCAGGAAGCGAUGCAGUGUUUCAGAGGAGCACUGGAGGCAACCGGCCAUGUUUCACCUCCAAAAACAUGCUGGUCAGGAUGGCCCACAGUUACAGCACAGAGUCGCAGUGUUUCAGGACUAAUUCUACAUCUGGACCUCAGGAAGGCUCUGAAGGACCAUGGAAAUGAUUGAUCUGGACUUUGAAACACUGUUCAGUGAUGAGGCCGGCUACUUUUCAGCAAAGUAGAAGAGCCUUGCUUCAAGGCUGCUGCAACACCUGAACAUGGAUUGCAAGGACAGCUCUUCCAGGC
rnacentral:lncRNA from 1 species